rnacentral:misc_RNA from 1 species
UCCGGGUUAGUCCCGGCGGUCCCGCCAGACGUUGUAACUGACGGCAGGGGUUGCGCUCGUUGCGGGACUUAACCCAACACCUCACGGCACGAGCUGACGACAGCCGUGCAGCACCUGCACAGGCUCCCUUGCGGGUCCCUUGGCUUUCGCUUCGGUACCACCUGCAUGUCAAGUCCGGGUAAGGUUCUUCGCGUUGCAUCGAAUUAAACCACACGCUCCGCUGCUUGUGCGGGCCCCCGCCAAUUCCUUUGAGUUUUAGCCUUGCGGCCGUAGUCCCCAGGCGGGGUGCUUAUUGCGUUAGCUGCGCCACUGAGAAGUAAACUUCCCAACGGCUAGCUCUCAUAGUUUACGGCGUGGACUAC